UACGUAGGGUGCAAGCGUUAAUCGGAAUUACUGGGCGUAAAGCGUGCGCAGGCGGUUUUGUAAGACUGUCGUGAAAUCCCCGGGCUCAACCUGGGAAUGGCGAUGGUGACUGCAAGGCUAGAGUUUGGCAGAGGGGGGUAGAAUUCCACGUGUAGCAGUGAAAUGCGUAGAUAUGUGGAGGAACACCGAUGGCGAAGGCAGCCCCCUGGGUCAAAAACUGACGCUCAUGCACGAAAGCGUGGGGAGCAAACAGG
rnacentral:rRNA from 1 species